AGAGAAAAAGUUAGAAGUCCUCAGAAAGAAGUAAACCUAGCCUAGUAAAGACCUAAGAGAGAGAGGAAGGGAAAGUGAGCCUUUACGUGAGGGGACGACAAAUAAGGCAAGCCGUUCAUGAAAAAAAAGCCUCGUGGUAUUGCAAUAUAAAGAGGUCUACCUAAACCUAUCUGACCUAGACCCAACACUACUGCGAGGUAUUGUU
rnacentral:lncRNA from 1 species